UCCACGAAGCAGACCACGCGUCGAGCAGGUUCUGUGCACUGCGAGUGACACCCUUCUCCGUUUCUUCCUCUGUUUGGCUCAGCCGUCUUCGCAGAAGACGUGGGCGACAUGCAGUAGUGCUACGCGUCCAAAACCGGUGCUACACGUGUCCUCCUCCUUACGAACCGACCUUCGAAAUCCUCCGUCUGGCUUCCUUAUAUUGACCCAGACGAUCUCCCUUCUCCCCUUUUCUCCGUUCUGCGUCUACAGAAGAGCUUUCUUAGACAGGCCCUCACUCUCUGUCAAAUCUGAGAAGGUUUCCUCGAGUAGUUCGCCGGGAACGCGGGCGACGUCCAAGCGUUCGCGGCCGCGCCCGUCGCGGCUCCGGCGGCCUCUUUCUUCUUCCCCUAUUCGUGAAGCCGAGGUCGUCAUCUUCCCCAACCCCGACAAGAACUCCGGCGAGCCUCCAUUCCACCGAUUCCGGACACCAUUGCUCCAGCUGACCAAUGCAAGAGUUUCAGGGUUUUUCUUGCCUCUUAUCGGUAGAAUCCGGCAACGAGGGUUAUUCGGAAGGUGAUAAGCAGCAGUACCAGGAGCUUGAACAGCAAGGCAAGC